rnacentral:pre_miRNA from 1 species
AGCUUUGAUUGUCCAAACGCAAUUCUUGUGAUUUUUUAAUUCAAGAUUUACGUAUGGACAUCGCCGC